AACCUGGUUGAUCCUGCCAGUAGUCAUAUGCUUGCCUCAAAGACUAAGCCAUGCAUGUCUAAGUAUAAAUGCUAUACAGUGAAACUGCGAAUGGCUCAUUAAAACAGUUAUAGUUUAUUUGGUAAUCGAAUUUACAUGGAUAACCGUGGUAAUUCUAGAGCUAAUACACGCUGUAAUGCCCGACUUUUUGGAAGGGCCGUAUUUAUUAGAUAUCAACCAAUAAGACUUGUUCUAUUGUGGUGAAUCAUAGUAACUGAUCGGAUCGCAGGCAAGCCCUGCGACAAACCAUUCAAGUUUCUGCCCCAUCAGCUUACGAUGGUAGUGUAUUGGACUACCAUGGCUUUUACGGGUAACGGAGGAUUAGGGUUCGAUUCCGGAGAGGGAGCCUGAGAAACGGCUACCACAUCUAA
rnacentral:rRNA from 1 species